AGCAGGGAGCAGGCAAACUCCUGGCAAGUCCGGGCAUGCCCAGGCUGUGCACUGCAUAGUGUGGAUACAAUGAAACCACAUAAUAAUGAUUAAAAAGGACCACACUGAACAACAUGACUGACACCUUUAAAAUCAAGUUAGCUAUGCUGAGAGAAGGAUUUAGCCUUUUGGAUCAAGUAUAAGCAUGUCCUUUGACCUGGAUUCAGAAACAGCUGAUAACUAAGGCAUAGAGUACCAUACCUUAAGCUCACUCAAACAGUGGUGUCACCAUUCAGCAGUUCAGGAUUGUGUUAAAAGGCAAAACCUAAUAAAUAAAUGAACAGAAGAGGAAAGGACAUGUAAAACCUGCUGGGCAUGAGGUAAUUUUUCUGAUUCACAUUUUAGCAAAUAGGGCAGGGUUGCUAUCAGUGACAGCAGGACACAUGCUGGGCGAGUCACUAGAGCAGAAAUUCCAUGU